AUGGCGGACAGACUCCCUAGUCUCACUUCCGCUCCGAGCCUCCCUGACCUUCCGCUCUCCACUCUGACGUCCCUGCUCACCUCGCUCUUCCUCCCCCACCCGCGCGCCCGCCAGCUACCGACCUUGGCUCCGCCUGCACAUCGCCACGUCACCGGAGACGGGGAAAUCGCUGGUAGGCCCCUGGACGCAUGCGCCGGGGAGGGAGUGCGCCUGUGCGGCGGCGAGCGCCACCUUCCAGGGACGCUUCGGUGGCUGCCUUCUGGGCGACUCCCGGGAUGCAGGGCGCGCGGCGGGCGGAGGCAGCAGGAAGCGGGCCCGAGCGGGAUGCCCUCGCACUCUGGGCAGGAAGUAGGCCUGGGAGGGAGGUGGCGGCUCCCUGGGAGUAGAGCGGGGCCGAAGGCGCAGUGCCGGCGGCGCGCUCCUGGUGGCGGAGCGGACCUUGGUGGGUUGCAGCGUCGCAGUCGCACCGGAAAUGGACUUGAAUGUGGUUAGAAUAUAUUUGGAAGCCAUGCCUUCUGAGCCCUGGCUUAUGGAAAUGAGAACCUGAGAGGCAGAGGGGAGGCAGCAAGCCUGGCUGGAGCCCAGCAGGUUGAUGUGACAGAACAGGUGGUCCAUGAAUGUGCUGAGAAGAGCUGACAAUCGGAGCAAUUCCUGAUGACUACAUCAAGUGAAAAUGAUAAUCUUUGGCAAAUUGAAAUGAUAUGUCUCAUUUCUGAAGAUGAAGAAAAAGUGAUAUGUAUCUUCUUAAACCAUCUAACCAAGUUCAUUAACAUAGUCAUCCCAACAUAGCUACAGAAGUUGAGAAAGCACCAGAUAAACAUUGGUGAAAAGCACCAACGGCAGGGGGCGCCCGGGUGGCUCAGUCAGUUAAGCCUCUGCCUGCGGCUCAGGUCAUGAUCCCAGUGUCCUGGGAUCGAGCCCCACAUCCAGUUCCCUGCUCAGCAGAUGGCCGGCUUCUCCUUCUCCCUCUGCUGCUCCCCAUGCUUGUGCUCUCUGGUGCGCGCGCGCUCUCUCUCUCUCUGUCAAACAAAUAAAAAAAGAAAAGCAUCAAAGGUGCAGAAUCUUUCAGGUGUAUCAGUACGGAGUAUAAAAUUGGUGCAUCAGUAUGGAGUAUAAAAUUUAUCAUGUACACUCCAAUCUAAGAAAUAGAAUUAUGUUUGAAAAUCCAGAGGCUGCUCUAGGGAUUCAGAAGAGAAUGGUAAUUAAGCGGCGCCUGGCUGGCUCACUCAGAAGAGCAUGCUACUCUUGAUCUCCGGGGUCAAGACGGGGGUAGAGCUUCUUUAAACAAAAAAGAGAGAGAACGAUGUUAAAUAAAAAACAUCAAGAAAACCAGCAGAGGGCGCCUGGGUGGCUCAGUCCGUUAAGCAUAUGCCUUGGACUCAGGUCAUGAUCCCGGGGCCCUGGGAUCUAGUCCCAAAUUGGGCUCCCUGCUCAAAGGGGAGUCUGCUUCUCCCUCUCCCUCUGUUGUGCGCGCGCUCUCUGUCAAAUAAAUAAAUAAAUAAAAUCUUUAAAAGAAAAACCAGCAGAAUUUCUCCAACUCCAUCUGGAAUCUAUAGAUAAAUUAAGGGACAAAUCAAUAAUGACGAAACUUCAUUUUACCAGCUUCACAACUGUUUGUGGUGUAUUUUAUGACGUAUUGAUCUUUCUAACAGUAGUACAGUUGAUUUUUAGUCUCUUUCUGUAUGCACUAUACUUUAAAAAAAAAAAGAUUGUAUUUAUUUAUUUGACAGACAGAGAGCACAGGCAGGGGAGCAGCAGAGGGAGAGGGAGAAGCAGGCUUCCCCCUGAGCAGGGAGCCCAAUGCGGGGCUCGAUCCCAGGACUCCGGGAUCAUGACCUGAGCCAAAGGCAGGCGCUUAACUUACUGAACAACCCAGGCGCCCCUGUAUGCACUACACUGAUGACUAUUUGUAUGUCUUUAGUGACUACCUGCUAUUCUAACUGAAUAAAACUUGCAAUCCUUGAAGUGCCUCCUCAUUUUACAGGCUGA
ensembl:lncRNA